rnacentral:rRNA from 1 species
CACGUAGGGUGCGAGCGUUGUCCGGAAUUAUUGGGCGUAAAGAGCUCGUAGGCGGUGUGUCGCGUCGGCCGUGAAAACCUGCAGCUUAACUGUGGGCUUGCGGUCGAUACGGGCAUCACUGGAGUUCGGCAGGGGAGACUGGAAUUCCUGGUGUAGCGGUGAAAUGCGCAGAUAUCAGGAGGAACACCGGUGGCGAAGGCGGG